AGGGAACUUAAGUGGAUAACUGUGCUGUAACAAUCUGGAGUAAAAUGCAUCACUGUUACAAACCUGUUACCAAGAAGAGCAUGAAGCUGGAUGAUAGUCUGUUCUUCCUGCAAGCUGAACUUGCCCCUCUUGAUGUCCGGCCUAAGUACGAUGAAAUUCAAGCUUUUCUAGACUCACCGGCCUUGGAGGGCAAUGCACGCCAGCUCCCAUGUCCGUGCUCCUCGAUGUGAGCAAGAAGCUUCUCGUCCUCCUCCGGCGUCCAUGGACCUUUCUUUAGGCCGAUCUUGUCACAGCAUGGUGAUCGCCCCAUUGGAGUAGUGUAAGAUGCUACCUUUCCGAAGCCAAGAACUGACGAGUGCAGUGGAGCUGACUGAUAAAUAGAGCAGGAGGAGAAGAUGCACAGCUCCUUGCUGAUCAACAGAAUGGAAGGAAAGAGUAAGAAACAAGUGACUUCAUCCUUGCUGCAAGAGUUUUGACUAAAAAAAGCUGAGAGUGAGUUUAGCAUCCAGGUCCAAUUGGUGUGGCC